AGCCAUUCUUAUCUAAGCGCAUGCGAGGAAUGCUGUCCACACUAAUCACUGCUCCAUCCUUUUCCCAGAUGUACCUGAUAGACACGCUGGGGUCAUGGGUCACACCACAUGUCAUGAAAGCCUUGGUACCCUUGAUGACGCUCUGGUCCUGGGGAGCCAUGGUGAUGCGAGUCCGGGCUGAAAGGCAGAGGCAGUAACAGGAGUGAGCAGGGAUGCGAAAAGGGACUGGGAGGAGAAAAGGCUGUUUGAUGGAGCCAUGU